GGGAGCUCUCCCUUUCCCUUCUUCUCCACCCUCCACCUCUGACACGUGGCCACCGCCUCAGCUCUGUCCACUAUAACCAUUCAGAGAUUGGCUGGUGUGGGAGAAGGGCUCAAGGAGAUGGGGGCUGGAUUUGACCACAGAAGCAAGCUGUCACCCCACUAAACGAGGGGAUGGAAGGUUGUGAGACACCCAACAGCCCAUAGUACGGGGCCCAGAUGGCUGGCCCAGCCCAAAUCCCAGGAAUCAUUCCAAAGAUCCAGUGACCCAAAUUCUGAAUAUUGAAGAUGAUCUUCAGGGGAAAAGGGCACUGGAUCCAGAAGGCACCAAUCAAACUCAAGAGUGUACUCUGCGAAGAAACCUGCCUAAGUCACCUACUCUCAGGAAAAAUCCUCAACACAAAUGGCAACCACAUCCAAAUGCCAUGCAGGUCUGCAGCUAAGGUGCAAGCUGGAGGGGAUGACUCUGCUUCAGAAUAUGGGAGGGGGAGGAUUUCCUCAGCAGAAGCACUUAGGUAAGAGAAAUGACAAAUUAAUUAACUUGUCAAAUUCUUACUUUCACAAAGCUUGAAUGCAAUGGAUUUUAACAUAACAAGACACCAUUUCCUGGCAGUGCCAAGUAUGCAUUUACUUGCUUCUCUUCUUUCUCCAACUGGGGAUUCCGAAGGUACUCACACACUAACGUGGCAUUCAGAACAGUUACACAUGGCUGCUAAUGUGUAUCGCUCUGGUAUUUGAAUAUAUACGCGGGUCUCUAUGUAACAUGAGUGAAGUACGAUACUGAUUCUUUACAUUGACGGCUAGAUGGACAUUUAAUAAUGGGGCGGCAAAUAGUUGUUUUUAACAAAAAUAUAUGACAAGAUUUAUAUUUAAAA